GACGGAGGAUGCAAGCGUUAUCCGGAAUGAUUGGGCGUAAAGCGUCCGCAGGUGGCAGUUCAAGUCUGCUGUCAAAGACCGAGGCUUAACUUCGGAAAGGCAGUGGAAACUGAACAGCUAGAGUAUGGUAGGGGCAGAGGGAAUUCCUGGUGUAGCGGUGAAAUGCGUAGAUAUCAGGAAGAACAUCGGUGGCGAAGGCGCUCUGCUGGACCAUAACUGACACUCAGGGACGAAAGCUAGGGGAGCGAAUGGG
rnacentral:rRNA from 1 species